GAACGAACGCUGGCGGCAGGCCUAACACAUGCAAGUCGAACGCUCCGCAAGGGGGAGUGGCGCACGGGUGAGUAACACGUGGGAACCUACCUUCUGGUACGGAACAACCAAGGGAAACUUUGGCUAAGACCGUAUACGACCUCCGGGUGAAAGAUUGAUCGCCGGAAGAGGGGCCCGCGUCCGAUUAGGUAGUUGGUGAGGUAACGGCUCACCAAGCCUUCGAUCGGUAGCUGGUCUGAGAGGAUGACCAGCCACACUGGGACUGAGACACGGCCCAGACUCCUACGGGAGGCAGCAGUGGGGAAUAUUGGACAAUGGGCGCAAGCCUGAUCCAGCCAUGCCGCGUGAGUGAUGAAGGCCUUGGUUGUAAG
rnacentral:rRNA from 1 species